CAUUUGUUCAAAUCCAAGGAUCACAACAGGUUCACUAGCAUCGAAGUUCACCAUCUCAGUAGCUUUAUCUGUCUCAGAUUUUUCAUCAAUAAAAUCGGCAGCUCUUCUUCCAGCUUCAUUAAGCAAUGGAGUUAAUGCCAUUGACAAAACAACUACAAUUAUAAGCAGCUUGUUAAGCUCAAGCGGCAGCACACCAAGCCUGUUUGCCAGAGAGAAAACUACAAAUGCAAACUCG
rnacentral:misc_RNA from 1 species